rnacentral:rRNA from 1 species
UGGGGAAUCUUGCGCAAUGGGCGAAAGCCUGACGCAGCCAUGCCGCGUGAGUGAUGAAGGCCUUAGGGUUGUAAAACUCUUUCACCGGGGACGAUAAUGACGGUACCCGGAGAAGAAGCCCCGGCUAACUUCGUGCCAGCAGCCGCGGUAAUACGAAGGGGGCUAGCGUUGCUCGGAAUUACUGGGCGUAAAGGGCGCGUAGGCGGAUCAGCAAGUUGGGGUGAAAGCCCGGGCUCACCUCGGAAUUGCCUUCAAAACUGCUGAUCUAGAGUACGGGAGAGGCGUGUGGAACUCCGAGUGUAGAGGUGAAAUUCGUAGAUAUUCGGAAGAACACCAGUGGCGAAGGCGACACACUGGCCCGUUACUGACGCUGAGGCGCGAAAGCGUGGGAGCAAACAGGAUUAGAUACCUGGUAGUCCACGCUGUAAACGAUGAUUGCUAGUUGUCGGCAGGCAUGCCUUCGGUGACGCGCUAACGCAUUAAGCAAUCCGCCUGGGGGAGUACGGGUC